UACGGAGGGAGCUAGCGUUGUUCGGAAUUACUGGGCGUAAAGCGCGCGUAGGCGGCUUUGUAAGUUAGAGGUGAAAGCCCGGAGCUCAACUCCGGAACUGCCUUUAAAACUGCAUCGCUUGAAUCCAGGAGAGGUGAGUGGAAUUCCGAGUGUAGAGGUGAAAUUCGUAGAUAUUCGGAAGAACACCAGUGGCGAAGGCGGCUCACUGGUCCGGUACUGACGCUGAUGUGCGAAAGCGUGGGGAGCAAACAGG
rnacentral:rRNA from 1 species